ensembl:Y_RNA Y_RNA Y RNA
GGCUGGUCCAAAGGUAGUGAGUUAUCUCAAUUGAUUGUUCACAGUCACAGAUUGAACUCCUGUUCUACAUUUUCCUCAUUCUCAUUACUGCACUUGACUAGAGAUA